CCUACGGGAGGCUGCAGUGGGGAAUAUUGGACAAUGGGGGCAACCCUGAUCCAGCAAUGCCGCGUGAGUGAAGAAGGCCUUCGGGUUGUAAAGCUCUUUUAUCUGUGAAGAUAAUGACGGUAACAGAUGAAUAAGCACCGGCUAACUUCGUGCCAGCAGCCGCGGUAAUACGAAGGGUGCAAGCGUUGUUCGGAAUAACUGGGCGUAAAGGGCGUGUAGGCUGUUUUAUACGUCAGAUGUGAAAGUCCUGGGCUCAACCUGGGGAUUGCAUUUGAUACGGUAAAACUAGAGGUUAUGAGGGGAGAAUGGAAUUGCUCGUGUAGAAGUGAAAUUCGUAGAUAUGAGCAGGAACACCAAUGGCGAAGGCAAUUCUCUGGUAUUAACCUGACGCUGAGGCGCGAGAGCGUGGGGAGCAAACAGGAUUAGAUACCCCAGUAGUC
rnacentral:rRNA from 1 species